rnacentral:piRNA from 1 species
UUCAACUCUGAAUGAAGUCUAAAUGUGGAGC